ensembl:lncRNA
AUGGGGGGGACGGAGGCCGGUGGGGUCGAGUCCAUCUGUAUCCUCCAGCUGACGGAGGCGGGGGACAUCUUCUACCAGAACCUGGAGUCACAGCCGAUGGAGGCCUCUCCACCUCCGGCAGCCGAACCGUCUCCACGACCCGCUCAAACAGCAGCCGCAACUUCAGGGGGGGCGCCGGCGACGUUGAGCGACGAGGACGUGAUUGGACCAACUCCGACCGUGCAAAGGUCAGGGGUCAAAACACUGGAGGGGGAGCAGGACGUGCACUCUGACUCCUCCCAGGACUCAGAGACCCGGCAGAGGGGUCGCUUCAGUGCUUACUCUGGUCUGAAGGUCAUGGUCAACACCGACCCCGAGCUGGAUCAGGGAAGCGGCUCGGACACGGGGGACAAAGACCUGGACGCGGAGGAGACCGGCGGCGCGGAGGAGACCGGCGGCGGGGGCCCGGGCGGUGCCGGGCGGCGGCCUCCGCCAAAGCUCAGCGACGGCGCGCUCGUCACGUGGAAACGGUGGCUCCAGAAGUUGGUGCAGAGGAAUCGCAAGAAGGAACCCCCCCGUCGGCGCGGCCGGCAGCAACGGGCCGUCCCGGUCAAGGACCUCCUCCGGUCGGGCGGGGCGGCGAGGGAUCCCGCGGAAGAGGCGCGGGUGCAGAGCCUGCGGCGCGACCUGAGCGCGUGCAUGGCCCAGCGGGCCCUGCUGCUGCACGGUGCGGUCUCCGCCCCCCUGCAGGCGCCGGACCCGGUGGCGGUGCCUUGCGCGGUGCAAAGGGACGGCUGGCUGGACGCCGUCAGCCAGCGUCUGACGGCGUCCUGGGAGGGCGAGGAGGCGUGGCUGGCGUGGUGGAGGGAGCAGCUGGGGCUGAACAGGGAGGACAAGGUGAAGGCGCUGAGGAGAAAGAGGAGGAGGGAGAAGGACCGGAGGAGAGCUGCGGGCCGGCGCAUGGAUCUGUCCAGCAGCUUCACCUCCUCCGUCAGCUACCAGUCGGAGCUGAGCGACUUCUCGGACUGGUCGGGCUGGUCCUCCGGCUUGAGCCAGGGCGCGUUUUCAGACAGCGAGGAGGGACUGCCCCCGGCAGGCAGCUCUCUGGAGGGCGGGACUCCGAGAGCCACGACCCCCACCACACCGCCCGCCACACCAACCUGCACGCCGGUUGCCACGCCGACCGCCACACCAGGUGACCAGCAGGCUACCAGUAACGCCCCGACCCGGACGCCAAGGCGGGAACCCACACCGGCCAAUCAGAGGCGAGCGAAGCGCCCAGCGGACGACUACCUCCGCGCUCUGUUCGCCGCUCAGGUGAGCGUGUUCCUUCUGUAG